rnacentral:antisense_RNA from 1 species
UCAAACAUGUGACAACAUUAAGCACCCUGGUAGAGGCAAGAUUUGCCAGGUGGCUCUCACAUACCCCUGCCUCCCACAAUACUACCCCCGCCUCCCAUGAUAUGAUGAGGUGACAAGGCACUUUACCUCUGCAUUAUACUCCGCAAAACCCGUAAUCCCAGACAAUCAUGAGAAAACAUCAGACAAACCCAGAUAGGCAGACAUUCUACAAAACACCAACGAGUCCUUCCCAACAUUGUCCAUGGCAUGAAAAACAAGGAAAAUCUAAGAAAUGGUCACAGACCAGAGAAGACUACAAGAGGCAUGAUGAUGGAAUGCAAGGGUCUCACUCUGCUGUCCAAGCUGGAGUGCCGUGGUUAAUCAUGACUCACUGCAGCCUUGGCCUCCCGGGCUCAAGCGAUCCUCCUGCCUCAGCCUCCAGAGUCUCUGGGACUACAGGAGUCUCACUCUUUCACUGAGGCUGGCAUGCAAUGGCACAACCUCAGCUCACUGCAACCUCUGCCUUCUGGGUUCAAGCGAUUCUCCUGCCUCAGCCUCCCAAGUAGCUGGGAUUACAGGAGAAAAGGCUGCAGAACCACACAAGGCUCACGCUGCCCGGGGAGAACAUCAUCUCAGUUCCCAUAUGAGUCCCAGCGAAAAUAUGACAGAGAAAUUCUGUCCUGGACCACGAGCAUCUUUUCAUCUUCGUAUCCUAGCAGCCAGCAGGCACGUGGUGAAGAGGCUGCUCAACAAAUAUACAGUGACGGUUUCACAGGACAAGAGUUAUCUGAGAAAGAACUAAAUCUGCCCCAUCAAGCAAUUCUUGAUAGAGUGUUGUCACCACACAGAAUCCUCAGUUUGAAACUAACACAAAUUGAAAUGUGUAAAACUGAAUCUGUUUCUUUGGGGAACACAAACCAGUAGAGCUUCUAUGUGAUAAAGGAAGACACUGCGGUUUGAUCAAGUUUGCCAAGGGGAAGAUGUCCCUGGGACACUGAGCUACUUUUUUACACAUACAGGCAUGGUGGCUCAUGCUUGUAAUCCCAGCACUUUGUGAAGCCAAGACAGGCGGAUCACCUAAGGUCAGGAGUUUGAGGCCAGCCUGACCAACAUGGCGAAUCAGUUGAACCCAGGAGAAGGAGGCUGCAGUGAGCCGAGAACAUUCCGAGAUCGCGCCACUGCACUCCAGCCUGGGGAACAAGAGCAAAACUCUGUCUCAAAAAAAAAAAAAAAGAAAACCCGCAACUCUAGGUGGAUUGGCACUGACUACUGAGCACACCAUACAUGUGCAAAGGAAGAAAAUGGGCUGUGAUGAAGUGAGGCGAGCUGGGGCCUCAAUUGGCUGCAUCUGGAAUUUCAACAGCAAGACAAGAAUGGACUAGACAGACCAGUGUUCUCACCCACUGUUUCCAUGAUCACUCCCACAACAGAAAAAUAAAAUCAACAAGAAAAAUUACUCAAGAAUAAGGCUGGGCAUGGUGGCUCACGCCUGUAAUCCUGGCAUUCUGGGAGGCCCAGGCAGGAGGAUCACUUGAGGCCAGGGGUUUCAGACCAGCCCGGGCAACAAAGCAAAUCCCUGUCUCUACAAAAAAAUAAAUUUAAGUUAGCCAAGCGUGGUGGAGUGCAUCUAUAGUCUAAGAUACUUGGGAGGUCAACACAGGAGGAUCACCUGAGGCCAGGAGUUCAAGACCAGCCGGGGCAACUCCAUCUCUACAAAAAAAAUUUAAAAAUCAGCUGUGCAUGGUAGCAGCACAUAUAGUCUCAGCUACCUGGGAAGCUGAGGCAGAAGGAUCUCUUGAACUCAGGAAUUCAAGACUACAGUAAGCUAUGAUGACACCGCUGCACUCCAAACUAGAUGACGGAGCAAGACCCUUUCUCUAAAAAUAAAAUAAGACUAAACAAAUCAAAAGAAUAAAAUACACAGGGUUAUGAGUUAAACCCACAGAGUUAAGUAAGCUUGGGAGGACCACAAACCACUGCCGGAUCUAAGAAUGCUUCUCUCUGUGACCCCCAAGAACUUUUGGCUGCCUAUCCCCCACCCUUGGGAGUGGUACCAUCUCCACUGAGAAUGCAUGGAUUAGCUAUUAGUCACUGUACGCAUCAGUGCCAUUUAAACACAACGCCCCUCAGGCAAUACCUUCUAACGUCGAGCUGGAUGCUGGACUACCAGCAGGCACACAUGUGUAAAGUGGCCCGGAGCCACCAUAGGGCUUCUGAACAGUCAGCACAUUUGGAGAAUCGACCUCACUGGAGCUCAGGAACCUUGGUUUGGGA